rnacentral:rRNA from 1 species
GAUGAACGCUGGCGGCGUGCUUAACACAUGCAAGUUGAGCGAAGCGCUUACGACAGAACCUUCUGGGGAAGAUGUAAGGGACUGAGCGGCGGACGGGUGAGUAACGCGUGGGUAACCUGCCUCAUACAGGGGGAUAACAGUUGGAAACGGCUGCUAAUACCGCAUAAGCGCACAGUAUCGCAUGAUACGCUGUGGAAAACGCGGGGGGUAUGAGAUGGACCCGCGGCGGAUUAGCUGGUUGGCGGGGGAACGGCCCACCAAGGCGAGGAUCAGGAGCCGGCCGGAGAGGGGGACCGGUCACGUCGGGAAUGCGACACGGACCAGAAUCGUACGCGAGGGAGCAGUGGGGAAUAUUGCAGAAUGGGGGAAAACGUGACGACGCCACGCCGCGGGAAGGAAGAAGUAUGUCGGUAUGUAAACUUCUAUCAGCAGGGAAGAAAAUGACGGUACCUGACUAAGAAGCCCCGGCUAACUACGUG